AUGGUCCUAGAGGAAGAUUUGUCCACAGUAACAUUGCUUUGGCCCUUUGGUCUGCAGAGAUUCAGGGCAGCAGACCAUCUCCCAUGGUCUGAUCUCUUCCCAGUGUUCCACAGUGCCCUUGUGUUCCUACAGCACAUAUGUGGAUACCCAGAGAAGGGCUUUCAUCUCAGCGAUCUGUGUUGCUUAGCAGUGGCCAGCCACAUACAGCAAAUGGAGGCAAGAAAAGGGAAAACAUUUCAUAAGACACGAUCCCCUUCUUCAGAAUUUCAAAGAGCUGAGCUGAUGCUUUGGGAAUGACCUGAUCUCUUUGCUCAUCUGUGCCAUAUGGAGAAACCAGCAUUCUCAGGAGUGUGAUACCAGUUCCUCAUUCUGCCAUAGGUUCCAUUUUUAAGAUCAAAACAGCCCUUGUCCCCCCACAGCAGAGCAGGCACCCCCCUACUAGGAACGCUCAGUGGGGCUGUGACCAUCUCACCAAGGCACCAGAGGAGUCUGGGGAGCUAAGACACGCA
rnacentral:lncRNA from 1 species